ACAAGGACAUUGGGAUUUGGGGUUUAGCCUGAGUGAGACGGAAAGUCUGGGAGGGGUUGGAGCAGGGCAGGGCUGUGACCCACCACCCUGCCUGCUGCCUAAGAAUAGACUGUGAGAUAUUCUCAGGGAACUCACUGAAAGAAGUUUCUGAGCUUUCUUCCCAGAAUUGUGGAAGCCAAGCCUGGAAAAGAUCAGGUCUCUGAAGAUGGCGGUGUGUGAUUCCAAGCCAACAUGGCCUUUGAUCUACGGUGCUGUCAGAGCUCUUGGUGACCCUCACCUGCAUGUAGAGCAAAUCUAAGGCCGCCCUGCAGUCCAUCAGCAUGGAGUCGAGGGAUGGAUCCAUAUACCUGCAAAAUUCAGGAGCGCGAAAUUCAUUCCUGUGACAUGGCUCAUGGACACACCUGGCAAGUGCUUUGGAAAGUGGUGGCCCUCUACCCUAUGAACCGGGGCCCCCUUUUCUAACAAAACCACACCUCCACUCGCCCAGCUUUCACUCUGCCCCUCCACCUCUUUUGUUUCCUAAUUUCUUUACACUGUAAGCUCUUACCUGGAGGGCUCUGAGAGUAAAGAGGCACAAAAAAUAAAGCUUUAGGGGAAUGGUCUGCAUCCCUGUUCAUA